GCGACCCCAGAUCAGGCGGGACUACCCGCUGAGUUUAAGCAUAUCAAGCGGAGG
rnacentral:rRNA from 1 species